rnacentral:tRNA from 1 species
GGGGUAUUAGUAAAGCCAUUACAUAGCCUUGUCAAGACUAAACCAUGGGUGAAAACCCCAUAUACUCCU